rnacentral:rRNA from 1 species
GACGAACGCUGGCGGCGUGCUUAACACAUGCAAGUCGAACGAAGAGCGAUGGAAGCUUGCUUCUAUCAAUCUUAGUGGCGAACGGGUGAGUAACGCGUAAUCAACCUGCCCUUCAGAGGGGGACAACAGUUGGAAACGACUGCUAAUACCGCAUACGAUCUAAUCUCGGCAUCGAGGAUAGAUGAAAGGUGGCCUCUAUUUAUAAGCUAUCACUGAAGGAGGGGAUUGCGUCUGAUUAGCUAGUUGGAGGGGUAACGGCCCACCAAGGCGAUGAUCAGUAGCCGGUCUGAGAGGAUGAACGGCCACAUUGGGACUGAGACACGGCCCAGACUCCUACGGGAGGCAGCAGUGGGGAAUCUUCCGCAAUGGACGAAAGUCUGACGGAGCAACGCCGCGUGAGUGAUGACGGCCUUCGGGUUGUAAAGCUCUGUUAAUCGGGACGAAAGGCCUUCUUGCGAAUAGUUAGAAGGAUGACGGC